rnacentral:misc_RNA from 1 species
AUCUCCUUCAAGUUGGCGACUCAUCCCUUCCCCUUCAACCGUAUCCGAUAAUAUCCUCAUGAAAAUGGCGUCCGCCACGUCUUCGGUGUUUGAUGCGAUGGGCGUGCAGAAUUUAACCGAUAUUUCCGAUAUACAAGAGGCUUUUGAACAACUCUGCGUGGAGGAGCAAGCAAUCACGGAUGAUAUUGAUGGAUUGUUGGAAAAACAGACCAACCUAGAGGCUAAGAUGAACACCUUACAGCGACAAGGUCAAAACCUGCAGCUUGUUCACACUGAUGCUAGGCAGCUUGGAAGCAUGAUCUCAUUCACCUCCGAUCUCGCCGAGAAUGUUAGCGGCAAAGUCCGAGAGCUUGACGUAGCAAAAAACAGAGUUCAAAUAGCAAUCCAAAGAGUGAAUGACAUACUAGAUCUCAAGUUUUGCACCGACGGAGUCCAGACUGCCCUCCAGUCAGAGAAUUAUGAGAAGGCAGCGGGCCAUAUACACAGAUAUCUGAGCCUUGACGAGAAGGUGUUGAAACAGGUCAUCGCGGAUAAUAAAGAAGGCGGUGGAAUCGAUCUGUCCAUCGGCCUCCUCCACGAGGCCGAGCAGAACCUAAAGGCCUUAGUCCGGGAGAAGUUUGACUCGGCUAUCCAGAGUGGAGACAGGGGGUCCGUGGAGAGGUUCUUCAAGAUCUUCCCGCUCUUGGGGCUCCACGACGAGGGGCUGGAGAAAUUCUCAACGUACCUCAGGACACAGAUUGCUAAUAAGGCCAAGGAGAGUCUUACCCUGGCCCUCAGCAAGGACAGCACGGACCGACGGGCCAGUGUUGUCUACGCUGACACCAUCACCAUACUGUUUGAGGACAUCGGCAAGAGCGUGGAGAUCCAUCAGCCUCUCGUGGAGACAUAUUACGGUCCUGGCAGGUUAUUCACCCUCAUGCAGUCGCUGCAGCAAGAGUGCGACAUCCAAGCCAAGCAGAUCGUGGAGAGCUUCGUCCGUAACCGUGAGUUUGACACCAGGGCCCAGCAGGUGCAGCAGAGCUUACGAGGCUACAAAUCGUCCAACCCUAACGACAAACUAGACCCACGAGACUUAGACGUCAUGCUAGCAGAAUGCACCUUGCUGAACACAAGGACAGAGCUGUACCUGAGGUUCGUCAAGAGAAGAAUUAUUAGUGAUAUAGAAGUCUUGGAUGAAGACGUAGCUACAAAGCAAGCCAGACAAGCCGAGCUAGACAGGUUCUUGAUGAACUGCCAGCUCAGUAGACACAUGCAGGAGCUGAUCGGCAACUACAUCAUGAUGGAGGAAUAUUUCAUGCACGAGACAGUGACAAAGGCGGUCAGUUUAGACAGCUUAGACUCCGGGUCGCAAACGUCCAGCAUGGUUGAUGACAUUUUCUUCAUUGUCAAGAAAUGCACAAGGAGAGCAAUCUCCAGCGGCAGCACUGACUGCGCUUGUGCGAUGCUCAACCACACCAGCUCCCUACUGGAGGGCUCCUACCGCGACGUCCUGUACAACAAGCUCCGUGCCGGCUACCCCUCGGGCUCCUUUGACGUCAGCCAAGCCUACAGCAUGCUGCAGCAGGGCCGGUUUGCGACCUCCACGACAGACACCAAUGCAGCCAAGCUAGAGUUCCUGACAACAUUAAACAACACCGAGGUAAGCAUAGAGUACACACAAGCCCUCAAGAAGAGCCUCGGGGACGAGUGCUCCUCCAAGAAUCAACACCUCGCCGACAAGGAGAGAGAGAAACUGGAGAGCUGUCUGGCCGACCUGGGGAACGUCACGCACAAAUUCAAGGACGUCUUAGAGUACGGUCUGAGCCAGCUGAGCACCAGCGCCAUCAAGCCUCGCCUCAAGCCCUGGGUGGAUAACUUCCUCUCCACCAGCCACAACAUAUCCGAGGAGGAGUUCUCCAACUACGAGGCCAACGAUCCGUUCGUACAAGUAUUCAUCAUCAACCUGGAGCAACUCCUGAAUGAAUUCAAGGAUUUACUCACACCGGCAAAUUAUGACGCACUCGUUGGGUUACUCACAAACGAGGUCACAACUCAACUUGAGAAGGCAGUGCUCAAAUCAGUCUUCAACAGACUUGGCGGUUUACAGUACGACAAAGAGCUGCGUUCCUUAGUCGGUUAUCUUACCUCUGUAACUCAGUGGACCAUCCGAGAUAAGUUUGCCAGGCUCACCCAGAUGGCCACCAUCUUGAAUCUGGAAAGAGUAUCGGAAAUCCUUGAUUACUGGGGCUCCAACUCGGGACCUUUGACCUGGAGGUUGACCCCGGCAGAGGUCAGACAGGUGCUGUCUCUCAGAAUCGACUUUCGAACUGAGGACAUCAAGAGAUUGAAGCUCUGAACUUCCUGAAAUCCUUGCCGACAAAUGUCUCCACCUGUUUGCCACCUGUUUGACGUGGCUUCUUCCAAUAUAAUUCCUCUGCCUUGUGGAAGCGCCAUUGCACCAUUCCAAUUGGCCCAGAAUCACCUGACAUAUCACGGGACAAGUUGGAUAGAAUUGUCAGUUAUUGGACCCGAAUUCGUAGAAAUGUUUGCAUUAUUUAGAUUUUCUGGUUUACGUCUUGCAAUCUUGGGUUUUGUAUCUUGGUGCAACGUAGAAUGUUUUGUAUACUCAAAGAGAUUGCAUAGCAAAGCUUAAGAGGGUAGCAACUCCUAUGGACCCACAUUAUGAGUCAAUUUGUUCCACAUGGAUCCGGAUCAGUGAUCCCGAAGCUGGCUCGCACUCUCCAUUACGCAGUUUCUGCUGUCAGUGAACCAACGAGGGAUUUACUGAUCGUGAUUCUUAUCCGUGUGAAACAAACAACUCCCACAUCAGUCCGUCAAAAUGCACGCAAACAGAUUUUUGGGGUUUUUAAGUUUCCUUUCAAGAGCCCUCAUAUCAUUCGAGUGCCUUGUAUAAAUGCAAAGUUGUAUUUUGUAUUCACUUAGAAAUGUGUCAUAGGGUGCCAGACUUUCAUGUAGUACAUGCGUGAGUAUGCAUUAGACUGCAUUUUUUAUUUUAUUUGACACGGACAUUCCAGACCCUUGUAGUUUUAUAUUAAACCUGUGGCAAUGCAGAAACGAAUAUUCAGAAUGAAUACGUCUGCACUGGUCCACAUUUUUGGAACACAGCUUGAUGAUGUUCAUGAGUCCCGAGCUGUACCAAAAGAGGAUGCAAUUUUCCUAGCAGUGGAUGCUCCUUUGGUCAGAGCUGCACUUUGCCAGUCCAGAAACGACUAUGAAAGGCACACGUUACAAACGUGUCGCUUCCGUCAAAAUGAACACUCCCUGAGGGGGGAUGCUUCUGUUCAAGGCCGAUGGCCGGUAGCAUCUUUUGAGUAAAGACUGAAUAAUGUUGAGCAAGAUAUGCCGUGAAACUGAAUAGGGCAGACUGUUAUGCGUUAUUUUCACAGUAUUGAUCUGCUUUCAAUUUGAUUGCAUUUAAGCGGGUAGUUGGACUGGUUUGAGAUAACCUGGCUUGUUCCACUCAAGUAACACUGACCCCAACACACAGCAUAACCAAGUUCAUGCUAGGACUGCGCUGAAAUCAAAGGUUAUGAUUUUUUGUAAAGUUUCGAAUCUUGGUGGAAGUUAUUAGCCAGCCCAAAGUUGCGCUCAGAGAAGUGGUUGGGAAAAGGGAGCUCUGCACUGAAGGAAAUUUUGUUGCUUUUUCCCUCAAACAUACUGCCGUGAAUUUCGUUCAGUUUAGUUAGCAACGUGCCAUUGACAUUAUAAAUGUCUGUUCGCUUAUCGCAAUUUCUAGAAAGAGAGGUUUCUUUUUCUUUCUUUUUUUUACAUUUUAAUUUUCUAUCGGGGUACUUACAGUUUAGCACCUUCUGUAAAUAACCUGUGUAUAAAUAAAUGAAUGGUUGAUAAAUGUACGUGUAUAUAAAUAAGAAUUGUACAGAUGGAGGAUUGGAAAGAUGACAUGAUUAAUCAUGUUUGUUGCUGCCAAAACGUUCUUUGAACAAAUAACAAUUCCAUCGUGACAUUCUGUGUAAUGCCUUGUUUGAUUGAAAAAAAAAGAGUUCGAAAUUUAACAUAUCUGUCAUGAGACCUGUGUGCAUAUACAGAGGAAUUUCAGAAUAAUCCCAAACCUGAUGUCAAAAGUUAUUUGGACUUUCACUAAUCCAAGUGAAAAGACAUAAAAUAAAUUACAAUAAUAA